rnacentral:rRNA from 1 species
UACGUAGGGUGCAAGCGUUGUCCGGAAUUAUUGGGCGUAAAGAGCUCGUAGGCGGUUUGUCGCGUCUGCUGUGAAAUCCCGAGGCUCAACCUCGGGUCUGCAGUGGGUACGGGCAGACUAGAGUGCGGUAGGGGAGACUGGAAUUCCUGGUGUAGCGGUGAAAUGCGCAGAUAUCAGGAGGAACACCGGUGGCGAAGGCGGGUCUCUGGGCCGUAACUGACGCUGGAGGAGCGAAAGCAUGGGGAGCGAACAGG